CGGCAGGACACGCGCGCCUUCUACAAGCUGUUCUAUCAUGUCGAUGUCACGGAUAGCGAUCUCGACACCCUGAUCGCAUGGGCGGACGGCAAGCCGCCCUCAAUCCCGGCGCGCCGAUGACGGCACAGCGGGCAGCAUCGCGAGUCUCCUGGAUCAUUCCCGGCCUCGCGUUGCUGGCGCUUGCAGUCGCCGUGAUCGGACUGACCGUCGGCGCAUUUCCUGUGACGCUCGAUGGAUUUUUUCGCGCGCUGA
rnacentral:misc_RNA from 1 species